rnacentral:rRNA from 1 species
ACUCCUACGGGAGGCAGCAGUAGGAAUUUUCCGCAAUGGACGAAAGUCUGACGGAGCAAUGCCGCGUGAGUGAUGAAGGUUUUCGAAUUCGUAAAGCUCUGUUGUAAGGGAAGAAUAGCAAGAAUAGGAAAUGAUUCUUGUCUGACGGUACCUUACCAGAAAGCCACGGCUAACUACGUGCCAGCAGCCGCGGUAAUACGUAGGUGGCAAGCGUUAUCCGGAAUUAUUGGGCGUAAAG